AACGAACGCUGGCGGCAGGCCUAAAACAUGCGAGUCGAACGGGUGUAGCAAUACAUCAGUGGCGCACGGGUGAGUAACGCGUGGGAACGUGCCCUUCAGUACGGGACAACGUCGGGAAACUGACGCUAAUACCGUAUAAUAUCUACGGAUCAAAGAUUUAUCGCUGAGGGAGCGGCCCGCGUCUGAUUAGCUAGUUGGUGAGGUAAUGGCUCACCAAGGCUACGAUCAGUAGCAGGUCUGAGAGGAUGAUCUGCCGCACUGGGACUGAGACACGGCCCAGACUCCUACGGGAGGCAGCAGUUAGGAAUAUUGGACAAUGGGGGAGACCCUGAUCCAGCCAUGCCGCGUGUGUGAUGAAGAAUUUCGGUUUGUAAACUUCUAUCGAUGGGGAAGAAAAAAAUGACGGUACCCAGGUAAGAAGCCCCGGCUAACUAUGUGCCAGCAGCCGCGGUAACAC
rnacentral:rRNA from 1 species